rnacentral:rRNA from 1 species
AGCAGCCGCGGUAAUUCCAGCUCCAAUAGCGUAUAUUAAAGUUGUUGCAGUUAAAAAGCUCGUAGUUGAAUUUCGGGGUUCUUCCGUUGGUCAGGCUAACCAGUCUGUACUAGCGUGUAGAACCCCUACCUUCUGGGGAACCAUCAUGUUAUUAAUUUAGCGUGGUGGAAACCAGGACCUUUACCUUGAAAAAUUAGAGUGUUCAAAGCAGGCUUACGUCUGAAUACAUUAGCAUGGAAUAAUAAAAUAGGACGGUGGUCCUGUUUUGUUGGUUUCUGAAUCACCGUAAUGAUUAAUAGGAAUAGUUGGGGCAUUAGUAUUCAAUUGUCAGAGUGAAUUCUUGGAUUUAUUGAAGACUAACUUCUGCGAAAGCAUUUGCCAAGGAUGUUUCAUUAAUCAAGAACG